GACGAACGCUGGCGGCGUGCUUAACACAUGCAAGUCGAACGGAAAGGCCCUGCUUUUGUGGGGUGCUCGAGUGGCGAACGGGUGAGUAACACGUGAGUAACCUGCCCUUGACUUUGGGAUAACUUCAGGAAACUGGGGCUAAUACCGGAUAGGAGCUCCUGCUGCAUGGUGGGGUUUGGAAAGUUUCGGCGGUUGGGGAUGGCCUCGCGGCUUAUCAGCUUGUUGGUGGGGUGGUGGCUUACCACGGCUUUGACGGGUAGCCGGCCUGAGGGGGUCACCGGCAAGAGGGGGCGUAGAGUGCGCCCAGGACUCGUGGGGGGGGAAGGGGGGGGGAAUUUAGAACAGGGGGGAGAAUGCGGAUGCGACACCGCCGGGGGGGGGAUGGCGGCCUUGGGGUUAAAAACCGUUGCCGCGGAGGAAGAGGGGUGGUGAGGGUAACUGGAGAAGAAGAACCGGCUAACUACGGG
rnacentral:rRNA from 1 species